rnacentral:rRNA from 1 species
UACAGAGGUCUCAAGCGUUGUUCGGAUUCAUUGGGCGUAAAGGGUGCGUAGGCGGCGCGGUAAGUCGGGUGUGAAAUCUCGGAGCCUAACUCCGAAACUGCAUUUGAUACUGCCGUGCUUGAGGACUGGAGAGGAGACUGGAAUUCUCGGUGUAGCGGUGAAAUGCGUAGAUAUCGAGAGGAACACCCGUGGCGAAGGCGGGUCUCUGGACAGUUCCUGACGCUGAGGCACGAAGGCCAGGGGAGCAAACGGG